rnacentral:rRNA from 1 species
UACGGAGGGGGCGAGCGUUGUCCGAAGUUACUGGGCGUAAAGGGCGCGUAGGCGGGGGGAUAAGUCCGCUGUGAAAGCCCGGAGCUCAACUCCGGCGGGUCGGUGGAUACUGUCCUUCUUGAAGGGGCGAGGGGGAGAUGGAAUUACCGGUGUAGCGGUGAAAUGCGUAGAGAUCGGUAGGAACACCCGUGGCGAAGGCGGUCUCCUGGGGCCUUCUUGACGCUGAUGCGCGAAAGCUGGGGGAGCGAACGGG